UAAAAGCGACCAUGUACAAAACACCUGCAAUGUUCUGUGGUUUCCCCAUCCCCUCAUUGAGAACGCCUAGAUACGCCACUGAAUCAGAAUCUAAAAAAUUUGACACCUCCAAUAAAUGUAUAUUCUUUAAUAUCUUCCUUCAUGGAAAUCGAAUAAGUAAACGUAUUCACCACCUAACCGCCAUCGAUAUAAAUAUUACAUUGUCCAGUGUCAAACAACUCCA